GAUGAAGAACGCAGCGAAAUGCGAUACUUGGUGUGAAUUGCAGAAUCCCGUGAACCAUCGAGUCUUUGAACGCAAGUUGCGCCCGAAGCCAUCAGGUUGAGGGCACGUCUGCCUGGGCGUCACAUAUCGUUGCCCAAUGCCUAUUGCAGUGCAAUAGGAAUUUCUAGGGCGAAUGAUGGCUUCCCGUGAGCGUUGUUGCCUCGCGGUUGGUUGAAAAUCGAGUCCUUGGUAGGGUGUGCCAUGGUAGAUGGUGGUCGAGUUAGAACGAUACCGAUCAUGUGCAUGCUCCCCAAAAUAUGGCCUCUAUGACCCACACGCGUCUUUUGGCGCUCAUGACGAGACCUCAGGUCAGGCGGGGCUACCCGCUGAAUUUAAGCAUAUCAAUAAGCGGAGGA
rnacentral:misc_RNA from 1 species